GCAAGAUGUCUCUCACCAAAGAAAGAAAAAUCCAUACGGAAAGAGUUGUUAAGGAGUCCUGAGCAAGUGCAGCUGUUAAGGGAGCAGUCACUGAGACACAACCAGGAAGGAGGAGAGGCAUUUUUCUGUGAUGUGAAGGAAGUUCGUGCAGCCAAAGGUGAGGAGACAGGGUCACUCUGGUCUAUUCCCUAGACCACCCUAUUGCUCCAGCAAUGUAUUGAUUUGUGGAUCUCUGCAAAGCAGACAGACCAGGUCAGAGAUGUCCCUACGAUUCUUUUUGCUCCCUUGAAGGACUGCUGUGAAGUUACAGUCGCAAUAUAAAGAUGACAAGAAGUUCAAGACAAGAUAAAGGACCCCAGUGAGAUUGGACACUGAGAGAAAAUGAAAUGAGAGGCUGACUAUGAAAAGAGAGUCCAUUUUUCCAGUUGUGUGCAGAGUACAGCUGAGAAACAAAGGCUUACAAUGACCUGGGCCAUCUGAGUCACAAAUAUCUGUCACUGCUGUCACAGAGAUCCAAAGUGCUGCUCCUCUAUGGAAGGAUACUCUCAAGGCAAUCACUGAUGCUGUCUGUUCUGUCUGUUCCAGGCUUUUUUCCACUCCUUAUACAUUUUAAUAACCAAACCAUUAACAUACAGAAACAUUUCAUCAUAAGCCAGGUGAGAGGUAGCUAGAAUUUUUUUUUUUUUUAAAUUUUCAUUUAUUCUAAGUUUCAAAGAAAAUUUAAAAUUACAAAAUCUCAACAGAUGACUUAAGGAGACAUUAUUAAUGGGAAUAUUAAAUAAUUAAAAUAAAACCUUUAAUGUAAUUGCACAAAGUAUUCAUUCACCCUUCCAAAUAGAGUGGGUAGUUAUAAGUUUUGAGAGGACAGAUGGAUGUGUGCAAAGCCAUCUAGCUUCCUGGGUAGCUCAAGAAAUCAGUAAGCUACCUAGAAAGACACAGAUAACUGGACCUGUGGGAUACUCAGGGCUAAGUGAUCCUAAAAGGAAGACAUCUUUCUUUCAACAGUAUUUACAGUCACACAUUAGAGAAAUUGAUAAUCAUUAAGAAUUAUCCUUAAGGAGAAAAUACAAUCCAUGGUUACAUACUUUACAAUUUCUCUCUGGGGAUGAUGAAUUAUUGGUAGUCAUGAGAAAGGUUCCUUCCUUUUCAUUACUUCAGAGCACACAGAGAUGAAGUUGUAGGUGAUGAACAUGUCUAAAAGAUUGGUGAAAGCCCACUGUGAUGGGGUGAGCAGCAAGGGUGGCUUGAAUAUAUUUGAGAACUGCUAAGACACUCACUUGCUCUUCCAAUUACAUUAAAUAAGAUUGCUAAUAAGUACCUCAAUUGAAGGAAAAAUUCUGCUUUAAAAUAAGUGCUUAUAGCAUAGGUACAAGGAAGAAAACAUUUGAUCCAGGGAAACCCUGUACAAUGUGGAUUUUAUUUGGAAGUUUUCCUCGAUCUUAUCACAACAAAUUACAUAAAAUCUAAUGUAGGGGUAGAUUACCCAGGAACAUCAUAGGUCCAUCUAGUAUACUGUCUUUUAGAAGUAGCUUGUAGUGGAUAUUUAAAGAAAGAAUUUCAGAAGAAAUCAAAUAUAAACUCUCCUAGUAUAGUAUUCCAGUUUCCGGAAAUAUGAUGUGCAAGGGGAUUCUGAGCUGAAUGGGAUAUCAGAUGUUGAGAGACAGACUUUUAUUUCAUGGUUUCCAACUGUUCUCUGAAAAUAGUUACGUUAGUAGCAUCUAAAACAUAUUCUUCAAGGACUUCUACUGUUAUAUCUAAAAAUACUUCCCUUAGUUUGUUCUAAAUCUGAUAUUUGAUAUUUCACUUUGGACAGUUAAUCCAAAUUACUUUGUCUUUUUUUUAAAUUAUAAUAUCUAGUAUGACUUAUGAUUAGUUAUAUUAACUUCAGGGUUUUUCCUUUGUGUAGAUUUGCAUUUUAUGUCACUUGCCCUUUCAUCACUCAAAGAAAAGAAAGAAACAAAAAUAAAUAUUCAUCAUAGACUGACUAUCCUGGGAGGACACCAUUUGGUGAAAAGUAUUGUUUCUUUCUGAAAAAUUAAUGAGAUUAUAAAUAAGAGUUGAACACACUUCUUAUUUAGAUGUGUUUUCCAAGUUUUUGUUUGAAAAACAUGUAACAUCCUUGAUAGGAAGUAAACAUCUUUGUGUUACAGUGCAGAAAGAUGUGCAGAUGGUAGGGGAAGGUGCCAGCUAAGGUUCACAUGAUCUGGUCAUGGCCACACAGCUGUGCAGAACUCUCCAUCCAGAAAGAAUCAGGAUGUUGGUCUGAGAAAGACCAAAGGUGUUAGUAUUUUUUUUAUGCUAAAAACAAAAAUAGAGGAGGAGAACUAGUCACAAUUUUAUUCAUUGCUUUCAACUUUUAAAAUUAAACAUUCACAGUUUGUGGUCAGAUACUUGAAGUACAUAUAGAUGCUUCUGUCCUCACCUGGACCUGUGAGUGCUUUUUGACAUGGCAAAAUGUAAUGUUUUCAGUUUAGUACCUGCAGUAUAAUUAAACAAUUAAAUACUAGAUUUCAUAUCAGAAAGCAUUUUAUUACUUUAUUUUGCUUGAGAAAGCAAUUAAUCUGUUGGAAAAGCAGAUAAAGUAUAUAGUUUAUUGUUGUUAUUGGCCCUAUGCUGUCUAAAGUUCUAGAGAACACUUUAUUUUCAAUUUUACUGAAUGUGUUUUCAUACAACAUAGAGUGUUACUCGUGCUGCAGUGCACAAUGUCUCAACAUAUCCAUAUGCUUAUAGGUCUCACAGUCUCAUAGUCAGGUGUAACAAACUUAUGGAUUCUAUACCAUAAUAUUAUUUGCUUUGAUACUUCAUCACAGACACAACGAACUGUUUACAGUCAUUUUAACUUGGCAUUCUACAGAUAGCUCUUUCUCCUGUUUACAAACAAGUUACAUUACUGUAAUGAUUCUGCAAUUACAUAAAAAGAUUACCAGACCACUUGAAAAUCCCCUACUAGCAUUCUCAUUUAUAUUAGCGUACCAUUCUCAAUUAGAGUAAUGUAUGUCUGAUGAUUCACUUUACUGCAAAACUUAAUUUGGAUUCCUUGUUAAUUCACAUUGUGUCAGUGUUUAGCACCAAAUAUUAAUAAAUGCCUCUGAUUUUUUUUGCCAGAAAUAAAAAAUAAAGUUAAUCAGACUGUUUUGUGGAACAAUUUUUAUGUACCAAAGCUUAUUAUUUGAUUGCUGUAAAAUAACCCACCUUCAGGAGGCACAGCACAUCUGGUUGAUUUUCUGAGAAGGGAUAAAUAAAUUUCUCUGAGUAAAUGGGUAACACUGUUGGUCACAGAGACAUCAGUGGCAUCCAGAAGUGAUCAUCUCAUUGCAGAGGAGAAAGUAAAGAAGAGAAAAAAGUAAAAG